rnacentral:lncRNA from 8 species
GUGCAUCAAACAUGAUUUAGAUCUAGUUUAUGAAAAACUGUUUAUUUCUGUAUUACAUGAUGACAACAUGCUGAAAAGUGUCAACAAUGUUCCUUUCAUCAAGUUUAAACAGUACAGCAAAAUGGUACUUACUAUCAAAAUCUACUAAUAAUAUGCAUAUUCUAGUUUCUGGGCCGGAGUAGUAACCAGUUUAAUUUGGGUACGUUUUUCAUCCUGCCGUGAAAAUACUGCCCCCUAGCCCUAAGAGGUUAAAUGCAUUCAAGGGUUAUCUACACCUCAAUGCCCACUAUGGGACCACCCUACUACGGACCCAAGUUAAUAAGGUGCCGGCAUGAGUGAUUUAUGGAGGUUUUGAAAAAAACAGUCUGUCAGUGUCCACAUACUUUUGUCGGCCUGGUGAUUGAAUGGGAAGAAAACACUCAAAGGUUUUAAAUGCGUUCAGGGGGCAUCUAGACCUCCUUGCCCACUAUGGGAACACAAUACUACGGACACACUCAAAAACGUUUUAAAUGCAUUCGGUGGGCAUAUAGACCUCCAUGCCCGCUAUGGGAGCACCCUACUAUGGACUCAAGUCAAUGUGGGCCGGAAUCAGUGAUUUAUGGAGGUUUGAAAAAAACAUACUUUUGUCUGCCUGGUGAUUGAAUGGGAACAAAACACUCAAAAACGUUUUACAUGCAUUCAGGGGGCAUCUAGACCUCCUUGCCCACUAUGGGAUAGAAGCAUACCCAAUUAUACAGGUUCUACACAUUCCAUUUCUCCAUGGCAAUAGAAUGUAAACAUUCUAUUUUGUGCCAAACAUCGCCUUCAACUCAAUUCUAAGUGCAGCAUAUUGGACGACUCCACAGUCAUUGAUCAUUCGCGACUUUAAGUCAUUCCUGUUAUCUCUAGAGCAUCCCGUAUAUCUAUAGCGCUGCAUUUCUUCCCCAUCUUACGAUGGAUAGGGUUUGGUGCAUUCCGGAGUUCACUUAUGGUCCCACAAAGGAAUUCUGUAGAAGCAGCCUUUAUGUUCAGACUCUGCUGGCCUGCUGGGAGGAAACAUAUUACAAUAAACAGGUAAGAUUCAUCCCACAAAAACAUAAACAACAGAAAGAGAGUUGUAUUUCAAGACAGUUUAGAGAAGUUGGUCAUAAGAGUUCUUAAAACCUGUUAGGGCUAGGGGGCAGUAUUGAUGCACUCUGUAAGUCAUGUUUUCUGCCAUCUCCACUAUGCCACUUUUAUCUUCAUGACGGGAAACACCAACUUUUGGUUCAUGAAUUUUAAAGAUGUAUUUGAGCCACUUGUCAUGGACAUGGCCAAAAAUCAUGUUUUCGGGCCCUCUCCACCAUGCCUCUAAUUCGGAAUGACGGGAGACACCUUUUGUGGGGAAAUAACGCUUCUAGGACACUAAUUUGAAAUAUAUUUUUGAGCAGUUUGUAAUGGACAUGGGUGAAAAUCAUGUUUUCUGCUCUCUCCAAUGUGCCGCAACUUCGACAUGACGUGAGACACCGUUUGUGGGUCAGGAAAUUGAAACACUUUUUUGAGCAGUUUUUCAUGGACUUGGCCGAAAAUCAUGUUUUCGGCCCUCUCCACCUGACUCAUUAAGUAUGACGGGAGACACGUAUAGUUGGUCAUGAAUUUGAAACAUAAUUUUGAGCAGUUUUUCAUGGCCACGUUCGAAAAUCAUGUUUUCGGCCCUCUCCACUAUACCUCUCGUUCGGCAUGAAGGGAGACACCGUUUGUGGGUCACGAAUUUGAAACAUAGUUUUGAGCAGUUUUUCAUGGACAUGGCCGAAAAUCAUGUUUUUGGCCCUCUC